rnacentral:rRNA from 1 species
UGCAAGUCGAGCGGCAGCGGGAAAGUAGCUUGCUACUUUUGCCGGCGAGCGGCGGACGGGUGAGUAAUGCCUGGGAAAUUGCCCAGUCGAGGGGGAUAACAGUUGGAAACGACUGCUAAUACCGCAUACGCCCUACGGGGGAAAGCAGGGGACCUUCGGGCCUUGCGCGAUUGGAUAUGCCCAGGUGGGAUUAGCUAGUUGGUGAGGUAAUGGCUCACCAAGGCGAC